CCCAGACAGCCAGGAUGUUGGCUUAGAAGCAGCCAUCAUUUAAAGAAAGCGUAAUAGCUCACUGGUCGAGUCGGCCUGCGCGGAAGAUGUAACGGGGCUAAACCAUGCACCGAAGCUGCGGCAGCGAACGUAUCACUUAAAGCGAUUCAGCGGGUUACGAUUGACGGAGCGAAGCGACGUCAAAGCGUAUACAAAGUCGAGUCGGUUUAAGGAUACGUUCGUUGGGUAGGGGAGCGUUCUGUAAGCCUGUGAAGGUGGCCUGUGAGGGUUGCUGGAGGUAUCAGAAGUGCGAAUGCUGACAUAAGUAACGAUAAAGCGGGUGAAAAGCCCGCUCGCCGGAAGACCAAGGGUUCCUGUCCAACGUUAAUCGGGGCAGGGUGAGUCGACCCCUAAGGCGAGGCCGAAAGGCGUAGUCGAUGGGAAACAGGUUAAUAUUCCUGUACUUGGUGUUACUGCGAAGGGGGGACGGAGAAGGCUAUGUUGGCCGGGCGACGGUUGUCCCGGUUUAAGCGUGUAGGCUGGUUUUCCAGGCAAAUCCGGAAAAUCAAGGCUGAGGCGUGAUGACGAGGCACUACGGUGCUGAAGCAACAAAUGCCCUGCUUCCAGGAAAAGCCUCUAAGCAUCAGGUAACAUCAAAUCGUACCCCAAACCGACACAGGUGGUCAGGUAGAGAAUACCAAGGCGCUUGA
rnacentral:rRNA from 1 species